GACGAACGCUGGCGGCGUGCCUAAUACAUGCAAGUCGAACGGAAAGGCCCUGCUUUUGUGGGGUGCUCGAGUGGCGAACGGGUGUGUAACACGUGAGUAACCUGCCCCUGACUUUGGGAUAACUUCAGGAAACUGGGGCUCAUACCGGAUAGGAGCUCCUGCUGCAUGGUGGGGGUUGGAAAGUUUCGGCGGUUGGGGAUGGACGCGCGGCUUAUCAGCUUGUUGGUGGGGUAGUGGCUUACCAAGGCGUUGACGGGUAGCCGGCCUGAGAGGGUGACCGGCCACAUUGGGACUGAGAUACGGCCCGGACUGCUACGGGAGGCAGCAGUGGAGAAUAUUGCACAAUGGGCGGAAGCCUGAUGCAGCAACGCCGCGUGCGGGAUGACGGCCUUCGGGUUGUAAACCGCGUUCGCCUGGGACGAAGCGUGAGUGACGGUAAUGGGUAAAGAAGCACCGGCUAACUACGUG
rnacentral:rRNA from 1 species